AUGCUGCAAUCAAUCAUUGCGGCAUUGUUUACCACCGUUUUAUCAGCAGCUGCCCGUUUCCUCGAGAAUAUUCCCGGCCUCGCUCCACUGUCAGUGGCUGCGAGGCCACGUUCCAAGCUUGAUACCAACACUACUCAUCUCAAAGAUAUAUAUAAUUCCCAGAUCGGUAAGAAUGUUUCGACACCGAGCACCACUAGUUCAGCCAGAGAAGACUAUUCGGAGGAUUCAGGUCCUGGAAUCUCCCAGUUAAAAAAUGCAAGUGCUGUUUUUCUAGUGCUCCACUAUGCUUGGCCUGGCGUGCAGGGCCCGUUUGGAGGCACGAGGAACAGGGAUUCCAAAUCGGAGUGGCAUCCUGCAAAGGCACCGUAG
rnacentral:rRNA from 1 species